UGGGCUAGAAUAGUAUUAAUAGUAUUUGCCCUCUUUUGCUAUCAAAAUUUUGACCUUUGGAUCAAUUCCUUUGAUAACUUCUAAUUAUUAGAUUAAAUAUUAUAGCCCAGUGGGGACCACUCAAUCUUAGGGGGAUCACUCAAUCCUAAAGGACUAAUAUCAUUCUAAUCCGAUAAUUUUUCAUUCAAAAAUUAAAACUUGAUAGUAAAAGAGGUCAAAUACUAUCAAUAAUAUUCCAGUCCAACUAAUUUAUCUAAAUAUUUAAAAAAUUAAAAGAAUUUGGUGAGUCCUAAGGUGUAAAAUUUAUAGUUACAUAAAGAUGUACAUGCAGUAAUUUUCUUCAUUUAAUUCCUCUUGCUUUUUUGACAGCCAACGGAGUAAUAACACAUUACAAUAUUUUUAUCCUUAAAUUUUAAUUUAUCAUAAUUUUUAACUUCUAAAUUAUUGUAGCUGAGUUUUACAAUUCAGUUUACUUAACUAAAUACUGAUGUAUCACCAAUAUGAAAGUGAUAGAAUAGCACCAUGACUAAUAAUAUUGAUAAACUGACCGUCCCUAGAGCAAGUGGCAAGGGACUUGGUGGUUUGUAACUGAGACCCAAGUUCGAAUCCUAGUUGAUUCACAUUUUCAGCUAAUUUUAUUUCUAAAUAAAAUAAACGAAGCGGGUUGCGUGCUACCUAUCUCUCAAAAAAUAAUAAUAAUAAUAUUCAUAAUAAUAAUUAAAAUAUUAUAUUAUUUCUAUAUUAGUGACUUAUCAAUAUUUAACCAAAUAAAUUAGAUUAUAAAUAUUUUUAUAAUAAUUUUAUAAAAUUUAAAUUAAUAAUUAUAAAUAAAUUAAAAUUUGAGGG
rnacentral:lncRNA from 1 species